GGGUCACCUGUUGAAGUUGGCUGGCCAUCUAACUCUGUGUAGGGUUAGGGUUGAGGAAAGUCCCCGGGCCAUGCGGCAGAGAUGCCAUCCCACUAAAUGGGAUAAAGUAGCCGGAAACUGCAUUCCUCAUUGGAGGGGGCUGAGACACGGUGGAGCCUUUGGUGGUUUCUGGCGAAACGGCUGGCCGUGAUUGACGACAGUUAUCAACUUCGCUCGCUGAAAAUCUUAAGCGGGUUAACUGAACGGGGCUUACAACAUUGUGACU
rnacentral:RNase_MRP_RNA from 1 species